rnacentral:tRNA from 1 species
UGACAGGGACUUGGCGACCAUCGGCGAAACGAGUCAGGCCAUCAACAAUUUUCUGCAUAUAGCGCAAUGAGAAUUC